rnacentral:rRNA from 1 species
AUUGAACGCUGGCGGCAGGCUUAACACAUGCAAGUCGAGCGGGGUGAUGGUGCUUGCACUAUCACUUAGCGGCGGACGGGUGAGUAAUGCUUAGGAAUCUGCCUAUUAAUGGGGGACAACAUCUCGAAAGGGAUACUAAUACCGCAUACGUCCUACGGGAGAAAGCAGGGGAUCACUUGUGACCUUGCGCUAAUAGAUGAGCCUAAGUCGGAUUAGCUAGUUGGUGGGGUAAAGGCCUACCAAGGCGACGAUCUGUAGCGGGUCUGAGAGGAUGAGCCGCAACACGGGGACUGAGACACGGCCCAGACUCCUACGGGAGGCAGAAGUGGGGAAUAUUGGACAAUGGGGGGAACCCUGAUCCAGCCAUGCCGCGUGUGUGAAGAAGGCCUUAUGGUUGUAAAGCACUUUAAGCGAGGAGGAGGCUCUUUUGGUUAAUACCCAAGAUGAGUGGACGUUACUCGCAGAAUAAGCACCGGCUAACUCUGUGCCAGCCGCCGCCGUAA